UCCCACCCUUGUGUAUUAUUACUUUGUUGCUUUGGCGAGCUGCCUUCGGGCCUUGUAUGCUCGCCAGAGAAUACCAAAACUCUUUUUAUUAAUGUCGUCUGAGUACUAUAUAAUAGUUAAAACUUUCAACAACGGAUCUCUUGGUUCUGGCAUCGAUGAAGAACGCAGCGAAAUGCGAUAAGUAAUGUGAAUUGCAGAAUUCAGUGAAUCAUCGAAUCUUUGAACGCACAUUGCGCCCCUUGGUAUUCCGGGGGGCAUGCCUGUUCGAGCGUCAUUUCAACCCUCAAGCUUAGCUUGGUAUUGAGUCUAUGUCAGUAAUGGCAGGCUCUAAAAUCAGUGGCGGCGCCGCUGGGUCCUGAACGUAGUAAUAUCUCUCGUUACAGGUUCUCGGUGUGCUUCUGCCAAAACCCAAAUUUUUCUAUGGUUGACCUCGGAUCAGGUAGGGAUACCCGCUGAACUUAAGCAUAUCAAUAAGCGGAG
rnacentral:rRNA from 1 species